AGGCUGUGUGUGAUGACUGCAUAGUUCAGCAGAUAACCCGUGGUGAUCACACUUUCGCUCCUAUCUGAUGCAGCCU
rnacentral:snoRNA from 1 species